AUGUGCUGUCUCCACCAGGAUCCUCCUCCUGGACACCCUGGUCAUGGCAUCAGAAGACCGGCUGGAGGACACUGAAGCCUGGUAGUUUGAGGAUGUGGCCCACCAGGACAGGUGGCAAGCAGAGGACAUCACCCACAAAUGUUGCCAAGACUGGGCAGACUGGGAGCUCUGAGUGCAGCUCCUGACCCUGCAGUGUGGGCGGGUGAAGGUGCUGUGGGAGAAGAACAUCAUCCUGACCUGGGCAGUGCAGGCCAUGUACAAUGACCAUCAGAACCACAACCAAAAGUCCAUGGGCAGGAUAAUCCCCGCCAGACCCGAUGCCCAGGAUAUGCAGCAUCUCGGGUGAUAUUUAGAAACAUUUUGUGGGCAGUACUCACCAUGUGGCAUCAACCAGCCCACAGCCCAGUGACGAGGA